rnacentral:piRNA from 1 species
UGCUCAUACCAUGUUACUUUU